CGCGUGUGUGAAGAAGCCUGCGGGUAGUAAAGCACUUUCAGUAGGGAGGAAGCGUUGAGUGUUAAUAGUACUCAGCGUUGACGUUACCUACAGAAGAAGCACCGGCUAACUCUGUGCCAGCAGCCGCGGUAAUACAGAGGGUGCAAGCGUUAAUCGGAAUUACUGGGCGUAAAGCGCACGUAGGCGGUUUUUUAAGUCAGAUGUGAAAGCCCCGGGCUCAACCUGGGAAUUGCAUUUGAAACUGGAAAACUAGAGUGUGUGAGAGGGGGGUAGAAUUCCAAGUGUAGCGGUGAAAUGCGUAGAGAUUUGGAGGAAUACCAGUGGCGAAGGCGGCCCCCUGGACACAACACUGACGCUCAGGUGCGAAAGCGUGGGGAGCAAACAGGAUUAGAUACCCUGGUAGUCCACGCCGUAAACGAUGUCUACUAGCUGUUCGUGUCCUUGUGACGUGAGUAGCGCAGCUAACGCAUUAAGUAGACCGCCUGGGGAGUACGGUCGCAAGAUUACAACUCACAUGAAUUGACGGGGGCCCGCACAAGCGGUGGAGCAUGUGGUUUAAUUCGACGCAACGCGAAGAACCUU
rnacentral:rRNA from 1 species